rnacentral:rRNA from 1 species
GGACUACUAGGGUUUCUAAUCCUGUUCGCUCCCCACGCUUUCGCUCCUCAGCGUCAGUACAGGCCCAGAGAACCGCCUUCGCCACCGGUGUUCCUCCCGAUAUCUGCGCAUUUCACCGCUACACCGGGAAUUCCGUUCUCCCCUACCUGCCUCUAGUCUGCCCGUAUCCACCGCAGACCCACAGUUAAGCUGUGAGCUUUCACGGCAGACGCGACAAACCGCCUACGAGCUCUUUACGCCCAAUAAUUCCGGACAACGCUUGCGCCCUACGUAUUACCGCGGCUGCUGGCAC